rnacentral:rRNA from 1 species
CAUCUGGACAGUGACUGACGCUGAGGCGCGAAAGCUAGGGGAGCGAACGGGAUUAGAUACCCCGGUAGUCCUAGCCGUAAACGAUGGGCACUUGGUGUUGGGGGUAUUGAGUCCCUCGGUGCCGGAGUUAACACGUUAAGUGCCCCGCCUGGGGAGUACGGUCGCAAGACUGAAACUCAAAGGAAUUGACGGGGGCCCGCACAAGCGGUGGAACAUGUGGUUCAAUUCGACGCAACGCGAAAAACCUUACCUGGGCUUGAACCGCACAGGACCAUCUUUGGAAACAGAGACUUCCCGCAAGGGACCUGUGUAGAGGUGCUGCAUGGCUGUCGUCAGCUCGUGCCGUGAGGUGUUGGGUUAAGUCCCGCAACGAGCGCAACCCUUACUCAUAGUUGCUACCCGCAAGGGAGAACUCUAUGAGGACUGCUCCGGAUAACGGAGAGGAAGGUGGGGAUGAGGUCAAGUCAGCAUGGCCUUUAUGUCCAGGGCUACACACGUGUUACAAUGCGCGCCACAAAGCGUCGCGAACCCGCGAGGGGGAGCUAAUCGCAAAAAAGCGCGCUCAGUUCGGAUUGCAGUCUGCAACUCGACUGCAUGAAGCUGGAAUCGCUAGUAAUGGCGCAUCAGCAUGCCGCGGUGAAUACGUUCCCGGGCCUUGUACACACCGCCCGUCACACCACGAAAGUCGGCUGUACCAGAAGUGCGUGGGCUAACCUUGCAAAAGGGGGCAGCGUACCAAG